rnacentral:rRNA from 1 species
CAGUAGCCACGGUAAUACGGAGGGUGCAAGCGUUAAUCGGAAUUACUGGGCGUAAAGCGUGCGUAGGCGGUUCGUUAAGUCUGUUGUGAAAGCCCCGGGCUCAACCUGGGAAUGGCAAUGGAUACUGGCGAGCUAGAGUGUGUCAGAGGAUGGUGGAAUUCCCGGUGUAGCGGUGAAAUGCGUAGAGAUCGGGAGGAACAUCAGUGGCGAAGGCGGCCAUCUGGGACAACACUGACGCUGAGGCACGAAAGCGUGGGGAGCAAACAGGAUUAGAUACCCCCGUAGUCCCUGUCUCUUAUAC